AUUGAACGCUGGCGGCAUGCCUUACACAUGCAAGUCGAACGGCAGCACGGGUGCUUGCACCUGGUGGCGAGUGGCGAACGGGUGAGUAAUACAUCGGAACAUGUCCUGUAGUGGGGGAUAGCCCGGCGAAAGCCGGAUUAAUACCGCAUACGAUCUACGGAUGAAAGCGGGGGGCCUUCGGGCCUCGCGCUAUAGGGUUGGCCGAUGGCUGAUUAGCUAGUUGGUGGGUUAAAGGCCUACCAAGGCGACGAUCAGUAGCUGGUCUGAGAGGACGACCAGCCACACUGGGACUGAGACACGGCCCAGACUCCUACGGGAGGCAGCAGUGGGGAAUUUUGGACAAUGGGCGAAAGCCUGAUCCAGCAAUGCCGCGUGUGUGAAGAAGGCCUUCGGGUUGUAAAGCACUUUUGUCCGGAAAGAAAUCCUUGGCCCUAAUACGGUCGGGGGAUGACGGUACCGGAAGAAUAAGCACCGGCUAACUACGUG
rnacentral:rRNA from 1 species